CCAGAAGGUGCUGCUGAGAAACAGCGGAAGAAAUUGCGUGCGACUUAAUCCGAGUUGCAGCUUUCUUUUUUACUGUGUGUUUCCUGAACCCUGCCCCUCAGCUGCUUCACCCCAGUGAGUUCUUCAUUUGUCUGACGGGAACAAAGUAGCUGCAUCGUGAAGGAGCCCAGAGGUCGGACUACACAGCAUUAAAUUGCACAGCUGGAGCCAGGACACUCUGGCUUUCUUCCCCUUCUCCCUUCAAAGCUUCUGCUGUUAACAGAUCUGCUCUGGCAAAGCAGAGGUUCUCAGCAUAUCUACCCCUCUGGAAUUCACAGUGUCCAAGCUAAUGCCCUAGCUGGAGGUGUCUGCUCUCCUGGAGGAGAAGAGCUGUGUCAAAGCUGUGAGGUGGCACACACGGACGGGAGAGCAGGUGCUCAACAAAAAUAGUAAGAAAUAAGUGAGGUCUCCAGCCAGCUGAGUGGGCUCCUGCAUGGGGCACGGCAGCUACUCUUUACAAUAGUAAAAUGAUUGUGUGGAAUGGGUUUGUACAGCCCUGGACUCUGUUUGACAGAGAUACAUAACUGUCUCUUUAAAUACUAAUGAAGAGGGCAAGACAUGUAGUACUAUUUAACUCCUAGCUUGUACUGUACCAGCAUUUCUCUAUUUCUUUUGCUACGGAAGCCUCUUGCCCAGUUAAGAAGCAGGCACUUCUUAAUCCAUUAGGCAACUAAGUAAUGUUAAGUUGAGACUAGUGUUUAGCCAUGGCCUGUAUGGGAAACCCAACCUGCCACUGCUGGAAGAUGGUGGUGAGGUUCACUGCCUAGGAACCCUGCUAACUGCACCCAAAUAUUGCAACAGGAUCAGAGCUCUGCCCAAAUUAGCCCUUGCAUUAACACAGCUGUGAAAAUACUGCGUACCCAAGAGGCCUUUAGCU